UCGAACAUCCGCGGGAGCUCGGGGCGGAUCCGGGCUGAGAGGGCGAUACGCCGACCGCAUGAACCUGUCCGGGUAAUGCCGGCGUAGGGAGUGUGAGCGCAGCCGUG
rnacentral:ncRNA from 2 species